AGCAGCCGCGGUAAUUCCAGCUCCAAUAGCGUAUAUUAAAGUUGUUGCAGUUAAAAGCUCGUAGUUGAAUUUCGGGAUUAAUAUGUUGGUCGUGCCUUGGUACGUACUGGCAUUAUUGAUUCCUACCUUCUGAAGAACCUCGAUGUCAUUAAUUUGGUGUCUUGGGGAAUCAGGACCGUUACUUUGAAAAAUUAGAGUGUUUAAAGCAGGCUCGCGCUUGAAUACAUUAGCAUGGAAUAAUGAAAUAGGACGUUUGAUUCUAUUUUGUUGGUUUCUAGGAUCGACGUAAUGAUUAAUAGGGAUAGUUGGGGGCAUUAGUAUUCAAUUGUCAGAGGUGAAAUUCUUGGAUUUAUUGAAGACUGGCUACUGCGAAAGCAUUUGCCAAGGAUGUUUUCAUUAAUCAAGAACGAAAGUUAGGGAUCGAAGACGAUCAGAUACCGUCGUAGUCUUAACCAUAAACUAUGCCGACUAGGGAUCGGAUGAUGUUAAUUUUUUAAUGACUCAUUCGGCGUCCG
rnacentral:misc_RNA from 1 species